UCCCCGAUAGAUCACGGUGCCUGGAAUGGCCUGUGAUCCAAAUGAUUUAUCGCCGUAGGAUGGGACUGCGGCCUAUCAGCUAGUUGGUGAGGUAAUGGCCCACCAAGGCUAUAACAGGUACGGGCUCUGAGAGGAGGGGCCCGGAGAUGGGUACUGAGACACGGACCCAGGCCCUAUGGGGCGCAGCAGGCGAGAAACCUUUGCAAUGUGCGAAAGCACGACAAGGUUAAUCCGAGUGUCUCCUGCUAAAGGAGUCUUUUGCCGGUCAUAGAACCACCGGUGAAUAAGGGGUGGGCAAGUUCUGGUGUCAGCCGCCGCGGUAAAACCAGCACCUCGAGUGGUCAGGAGGUUUAUUGGGCCUAAAGCAUCCGUAGCCGGCUGCUCAAGUUUUCGGUUAAAUCUAUGCGCUCAACGUAUAGGCCGCCGAAAAUACUGGGCAGCUAGGGAGUGGGAGAGGUACACGGUACUCGAUAGGAAGGGGUAAAAUCCUUUGAUCUAUUGAUGACCACCUGUGGCGAAGGCGGUGUACCAGAACACGUUCGACGGUGAGGGAUGAAAGCUGGGGGAGCAAACCGGAUUAGAUACCCGGGUAGUCCCAGCUGUAAACGAUGCAGACUCGGUGAUGCAUUGGCUUGUGGCCAAUGCAGUGCCGCAGGGAAGCCAUUAAGUCUGCC
rnacentral:rRNA from 1 species